GAGGGUAUAGCUCAGUAAUAGAAUGUGUGCUUAGGAUGCAUGGAGUCCUGGGUUCAAUCCCAGUACCUCCA
rnacentral:tRNA from 1 species